CCUACGGGAGGCAGCAGUAGGGAAUAUUGGUCAAUGGGCGAGAGCCUGAACCAGCCAUGCCGCGUGCAGGAAGAAGGCCCUCUGGGUUGUAAACUGCUUUUGACAGGGGCCAAAAUACUCAUGCGUGAGGAAUUGAGAGUACCUGUAGAAUAAGCACCGGCUAACUCCGUGCCAGCAGCCGCGGUAAUACGGAGGGUGCAAGCGUUGUCCGGAUUUAUUGGGUUUAAAGGGUGCGUAGGUGGCCUUAUAAGUCAGUGGUGAAGGCCUGCAGCUUAACUGUAGGACUGCCAUUGAUACUGUAGGGCUUGAGUACUGAUGAGGUAGGCGGAAUUGAUAGUGUAGCGGUGAAAUGCAUAGAUAUUAUCAAGAACACCGAUUGCGAAGGCAGCUUACUAAGGAGUUACUGACACUGAGGCACGAAAGCGUGGGGAUCAAACAGGAUUAGAUACCCUGGUAGUCCACGCCAUAAACGAUGAUUACUCGAUGUAUGCGAUAGAUAGUAUGCGUCCAAGCGAAAGCGUUAAGUAAUCCACCUGGGGAGUACGACCGCAAGGUUGAACCUCAAAGGAAUUGACGGCUGAGGACGNGCGAGGCGACGACGAGGGGAGUAGG
rnacentral:rRNA from 1 species